UGUGGUAGGGGAAGGAGAUGUGUUGUUGGUUUAUGUUGAAGGGCUGUAGGCACUUCAUCAUGUGGAGUCUAGCCAGCUGACAGCAACCCUCAACCCCUAGGCUCUGGACAUGACUGAAGAAGAAGGAACCAGGGGAACUAGGAAGUCAUGAGAUGUGGAGAAGUGGCUGUUACUCAAUAGUGCUGCUGCCAGAGGACAUCACCAAAUGUGAGAAGAGACCAGUUGAUAUUUUAAACCUUUGAACAUUGAGCUGCCGGAGGAGGUAGAGCCUGUGCGAGAUAGCAAAGAGAGCCCUCCAUCCCAGCAGCCAGAACUGUGGGGAGAACACACAUGCACACCCAUCCCUCCUGUUUGUUAAUUAAACAAUUGAAGGUUGGAGAAAGAAAAUAAGAGAGGAGACAUUAUGUGGAAUCGGGCCAUGAAGACCCACAAAAUCAGUGUUUCAUUGUAAUAUUUGUGUCUUGAUAUUGCAUCAAUACUGAACAUUCAGUUGGACUGUGUGACAAAGAAAUAUCAUGGCGCAAACAUCACAAGGCAAGGUCGGAAUAUCACUCGGCGAGUUUUUUCUUUUUUUACAUUCUGGAACAUUGUACACAGACAUAGUGGCGCCCACAUUUUGGAUUUACUGGGGCAUACAUAAUCUUGAUGAUUAGAACCAGGACAACUGCACACAAUAGCACAGACUCCAACAUGACUAAUUAUCUAAAUCAUUCAUAUUUUGUACUACUAUUGUUUUUGGCAUGUUCUUAACCAGGCAUAAAAAAUUAAAAGAGCAGUUUAAGGAAACUCUUGUAAUCCAUUUACAAAUAAAUUAAGCUUUGCCAGUC